AUUGUACUUUUCGGUAGUUUCCCAGUGCCUGACAACUGUGAGGGGGGUGAAUUUUUUUCUAACUCAUUAGUUUAGAUCACAUUUAGAUAUAAAAUAUAUGAAUAAUUAAGGGCGUGGUCGGCUUGAUUGACGGCUGACGUCGAGGCAUACAGCAGCAGACGUUGCCAGCUGAGUGGAAAGUGGAAACCCUGAAACUUUGACGUCUCAGCCAUGAUUAUACACAAAGUUACCACAUCCUUUCUGAACAUCUUUAUUCAAAAAGCUGACAUCAAAUGGUUUGCUAAGCUAUUAAUUGAAGCCUACUAACCGACACUUUCAGAAGACUUCGUUCCAGUUUUUUCAGUUUCCCUGUAGGUAAUCCAGACAGGCUGGGUGCUGGAGAGGGCUCUGGACUCCUAACUUCAAUUCUCGUCUGUGCAGUCGACACUCAGAAGCAUCACUUCAGCACUGAUUCCAUGAUCUGGAACAUUUUGAAAUCCUACCAGAUGGGGCAGAAGUCAUUGAGCAGUGGCAGCUUCUGAUUUCAAGGACUUUGUUCACCUUUAUUUACAGCAUUUGCAUCUGUGUCUUUAAAGUGAUCUAAUAUGUACUG